UAAAGAAUUCAAGUAUUUGCAUGUUAUUUCAGUUGGGAAGAAACCCCUCUGCUUCUAUGGUACUGGAUAUUUUCUUUGUAGUUGGUUAUUUACUGCCGUUUGUGUGUCUGUGCUCAUAUAUGAUAUAUUUUAUAAGCUAUGCAAAUCAUAUGCAACCAUAUCUUUCGUUAAUAUACCAACCGUAUAUUCUAAAGAAUAAAAUGCAUAAUGCCAGGAACUCUGGAACGUUAAGUUAAAUGCUGGAAUGCUAGUUUAAACCUACUCAUCUUAUGUGCUAACCUUUCUUUUGACAUGCUUCUGAGGAUGAUGGUAUGUGGACUGUCAAUUCACAUGGUAAUGCCACCUUAGUCGUGAAGUUAGGGCAUAAUACACCUUCUCUGCAUGGUAGUGCUUGUUUCAUGGAUUAACAACGUAGGAGAGGACUGACAAAAUAAAUUUAAACUACAUGACUUCUUACAAAUAGACACAGAAGAAGAAACAUAUCAAGUUCAUCAAAAGCUUAAUACCAAUCAAUGUAUAAAUAGCCAAAUAAAACAUUAGGCAUAAAUUAUGUGAAAUACAUUGGUAAUUUCCCCUGCAUUUAGGCCUGGGAUACACCAACUCUGGUCUAGCUCUAUUGGCCCUUACCGCCAGCACUGUUCACAAGCUUUGGAAAUGGCAGUGUAGUGAAAGGAAUCCCUCGAGGAAGGUUUAUUACUUCCCAUUUGCAGAUUUCUUUUGUUUUUAUAUUUUGACCUUUUUAAUGUCAGUUGCAAACUCGUCAGGCUACUGUUUACAUAGCACCCUAGUGGAGGCAACCUCGCAAUGGAACUCUUAUGACCAAUGACAUAAAUAAUGGUAAACCUGUUGAAGGGGUCUGCUGCAUGCAUCGCUUUAUCCGAAAAUGAUUCUUACGCUAUGUUUGCUUCUGGAGGAAAGGUUUCCUUGUUCAACAUAAUGACAUUCAAGUCAUGACAAUGUUUAUGCCCUCACUUCCGGCAGCUACCUAUUUCGCAUUCCAUCCUCAAGAUAAUAAUGUUAUUGCCAUUGGGAUGGAGGAUUCUACCAUUCAGAUAUACAAUGUCAGAGUUGAUGAGUUCAAAAUCAAACUUAAGGGUCACCAAAAUUGAAUCACAGGGCUUGCCUUUUCCCAAACUUUAAAUGCACUGGUGUUUUCAGGGGGUGAUGCUCAGCUAUGUACGCGGAGUAUUGAUAUAUGGGAGAAGCUAAAAUCAAGGUUCAUACUAGCACCAGCUGACCAUCAAUCCCCUUUGGUCAGAAAAACUCAAAAGUCUAGUUUCAUAAUGAUCAAACACCUGUUGGUGGUUGUAGUUUUUCUUCAGUUGUCUCUCUCCAAUGGUCUCCAAAAGAUACACUCCCUGCUCCCAUUUCAAGUGCAAUAUAUUCAUGUGAUGGUUUACUGGUGUAUGCUGGUUUUGUGACGGUGCUAUGGGAGUUUUUGAUGCGGAUCAUUUAAGGUUCAGAUGUAGAAUAGCAGCUUGUGCUUACAUACCUUCCUUCUCUUUCAGCAGCAACACUACCAUAUAGCAGCACAUCCAUCCGAGCCUAAUCAGAUCGGUCUUGGCAUGAGCGACGGAGCAGUGCAUGUAGUCGAGCCUUCUGAUGCAGAGCUGAAGUGGGUGGCACACUCUCCCAAGACAACGGCUCCCUCCCUUCUAAUUUGUCAAAUCCUUCCUUGAGUGGUCAACCAUUCGUCAAAACCUUUAAAAAAUACGAAAAAAUGGUCAACCGUUGGACAAAAGGAAUUGUAAGUUCAUGUAGAAAAAUACCUUUAGAAUUCACAGGACUAUGAGUAUACAUAAUACCUUUAUCCUUAAAAGUAAGAUUUAUCAUCUAUAACUGAACAGUAUACUUGUUUACACUUCAUUUGAAUCCACUCAGUAUUUCUUUUUAUCAA